rnacentral:lncRNA from 1 species
AUGGCAAUAAAUCUUUUCUUUCUGUCUGAGACUCUGAGCCCAGUCUCCGAGGACUCAGCUGCUCAGCCUGCUGCGGCUGUAGCUUGUCUGAGACAUUUUGGGGAAACACUGCCAAUUCAGUGCCAUUUAUCUCCCUCCUUUCUGGGAGCUGUAGAAGGUGUUGCUUAUUACUUCACAGUAUAUGUCAGUUGGAGUGACAGCCUCAUAAGACCAGGAGGAUACCUCUUGUGUAUCACCUCUGUUUGUGACCAUUGUUUCUCAUUGUGGGAUAUACAGCUUCAUUUCUGUGAAGAUUCAAUCUCACAUACCACAGAGGACACAGACCUUGGUCCCCUUGGAGCACCAGCAGGACAAGAAAGAGAUUGUUGGCCUAUAUCGACUGUAAGUGCAGUGUUGGAUGACUAUCUCAGAUGUGGACGCCUCUAAGGUCAAUAUUAUCAUCUGGUCAGAUGAGUUCCUUCCUCUCAUGAACAAAUAAAAUAGCACUCAUUUAAAUUUCCUUAUUCA